rnacentral:lncRNA from 1 species
CGAAGUCCUAAUCCAAUUAGGAUUUCUAGGAAUCCUACUCCAAGUAGGAAUCCAAUUUUAAUUCAAAGUUCCUAAUCUCAUUAGGAUUGUAGGAAUCCUAUUCCAAGUAGGAAUCCCAGUCCUACUCCAACUAGGAUUCCCAGUCCUAAUCCAAUUAGGACUCUAGGAAUCCUACCCAAAGUAGGAUUCUUGUUUCAAGUCCAAUUAAUUAAUUCCCUUUCCUUCUUCAACUUCUUAUCAAUCAAAUUGAUUACUUGUGAUUCCUAAUCACGAUUUCAACCAUCGGAUCGGUCAAUACUUCUAGUGUGUGUGACCCCAUAGGUUCUACUCUGACUGGUAGUGAGAUAUAUUGUGAUCUCUAUCUCAAUAUCAUUGAAAACUCCUUUCAAUGGGUUGGAACGAUUCCAACUCAACUCAUUAGGGUUUAUCGAUCAUCAAGAUAAUCCCUAUGAGUCCCACCAUCCACCAGUGACACCUAGCAGCAUGUAGUGGCUACCCAGUAGAAUAGAAAGAUGAACCUCUAGGUGCAGUUAACGUGUGAUACAGUCCUACUAUCGUGGAUCCCUACAGGACGGAGGUCAUAGACAACUCGUCAAACCCCAUCGUCUGUCAUAUGUCAAGAUUUAUUCGACUCGAGUUCGAUAGUGGAAAACUCUUUCUCCACUUUAUAUUACUGCCUUGGCCAAGGUCUUAGAACUCAGUCUAACAAAUCACAUAGGAUCACUCCUCUUCUAUCAAGGUCGAUAGAUUCCUUAUAGGUGCAUACCCUACUCCUACAGUGAACCUACUGCAGCCAAUCUACACUGCAUGGACCCAUAUGGCUAGAGACCAUGUAUGUGUGUAGUCAAACUACAAUAACCUCACUGUGAGUAGCCGAAGCACCGCAGGUCAAAGGACCAGUCACACUACUGCAACAUCAAGCAAGUCACUGACGAGUGGAUAGACAUCCAAGUGACUUCUUGUCUUGGUCACGCUCAGUACCCUUGUUCUCUAACAAGCACCUGCACUAUCACUUCAGUGUCCCUACACUGUGGACUCAAGUCUCGUCCAUCCAGAAGGAAAGUGAUCU